UGUUGCAACAUAUUCUGGGUGAAAUCCUGGCCCCACUGAAGUUAGUGGUAAAAUCUGCAAGGUCUUCAGUAAAGUUGGAGUUUCAGACACCCUGGAUAGGACCCUGCAUUCAGUGCUCAUGGAGGGCUUGUGGAACUGGGUGAAUAAAUUGCAACUAUAUGAACUGAAGAAUUCAAUCAAAAACCCCUCAUUUUUUCAUGAUUUUGUACAAUUCAUGACAGUCAGUGGAAAGACUCCUGUGACUUCAAUGGCAAACAAAUCAGGUCCCUGUAUUAUGCAUUUGAGAGAGUUUGUGUGUCUGCCUGCCCAUCCAUCCAUCUGUGAGUCUGUCCAAGAACUCCUCCUAAACGGUGGGCUUUGAACAUCCUCUGAAGUACACGAACGUUUACAUCCAGAUUUGAAUUUUUAAACCUUUGAAAUGUAUGAUCUGAGAAGUGAGCCCAAACAAAGCAUCUUUUUGCCCUGCUGUUUUCCCAAAAUUCAACUACCCUGUCUCAAGAAGCAAGAAGGCUUCCUGAUACAGUCUCCAUCCUUGUUAAGACUAAGUGAUCACCUGUCCCAGCUUGCUCUCCUGAUGGCUUUAUUCACCUUGCAUAUAAAUGAGCCUUUCCUUGCCUCUGGACAUACCUUAUUUUAGAAUGAAGUGACAUGAAUUUCUCGCAUGGUGUGCCACUUUCAAGAGCAAAAAUUGAAGUGUGUGAUAUGAGGCAUAUAAGUGAUAUGACAUCUUUCCUGUAAGUAUUUAUAUAUAAUCUAAUUUAAAGGCCUACAAUUAUGAGAGUGCCAAGAGCCUUUAAAGACCUCAAUCCAGCCCUGACUUUAACUCCUUCUAUAUUAACUACUGAUUUUUUAAAUUGCAGGCAGUGAUACUUCCCCUCUGGCGGCUAGGUUGAACCCAAAGCAUCACAGUGGGUAACCCAAAGCAUUACACAUACAAUGAGGGUUCUUAGAAUCAUCAGGUAUAAUAUGCACUUGUAUAUUGUUU